rnacentral:rRNA from 1 species
UACGAAGGGGGCGAGCGUUGUUCGGAUUUACUGGGCGUAAAGGGCGCGUAGGCGGCGUGGUAAGUCGGAUGUGAAAUCUCGGAGCUUAACUCCGAAACUGCAUUCGAUACUGCCGUGCUUGAGGACUGGAGAGGAGACUGGAAUUUACGGUGUAGCGGUGAAAUGCGUAGAUAUCGUAAGGAAGACCAGUGGCGAAGGCGGGUCUCUGGACAGUUCCUGACACUGAGACACGAAGGCCAGGGGAGCAAACGGG